GUAACACGUAAACAACCUGCCUUCAGGAUGGGGACAACAGACGGAAACGACUGCUAAUACCGAAUAAGUUCCAAGAGCCGCAUGGCCCAUGGAAGAAAAGGUGGCCUCUACCUGUAAGCUAUCGCCUGAAGAGGGGUUUGCGUCUGAUUAGCUGGUUGGAGGGGUAACGGCCCACCAAGGCGACGAUCAGUAGCCGGUCUGAGAGGAUGAACGGCCACACUGGGACUGAGACACGGUCCAGACUCCUACGGGAGGCAGCAUG
rnacentral:rRNA from 1 species